rnacentral:rRNA from 1 species
GGAAUCUUCCACAAUGGGCGCAAGCCUGAUGGAGCAACGCCGCGUGAGUGAAGAAGGUCUUCGGAUCGUAAAACUCUGUUGUUAGAGAAGAACACGAGUGGGAGUAACUGUUCAUUCGAUGACGGUAUCUAACCAGCAAGUCACGGCUAACUACGUGCCAG